rnacentral:rRNA from 1 species
AUUGAACGCUGGCGGCAGGCCUAACACAUGCAAGUCGAACGGUAACAGGAAGAAGCUUGCUUCUUUGCUGACGAGUGGCGGACGGGUGAGUAAUGUCUGGGAAACUGCCUGAUGGAGGGGGAUAACUACUGGAAACGGUAGCUAAUACCGCAUAACGUCGCAAGACCAAAGAGGGGGACCUUCGGGCCUCUUUCCAUCGGAUGUGCCCAGAUGGGAUUAGCUAGUAGGUGGGGUAACGGCUCACCUAGGCGACGAUCCCUAGCUGGUCUGAGAGGAUGACCAGCCACACUGGAACUGAGACACGGUCCAGACUCCUACGGGAGGCAGCAGUGGGGAAUAUUGCACAAUGGGCGCAAGCCUGAUGCAGCCAUGCCGCGUGUAUGAAGAAGGCCUUCGGGUUGUAAAGUACUUUCAGCGGGGAGGAAGGGAGUAAAGUUAAUACCUUUGCUCAUUGACGUUACCCGCAGAAGAAGCACCGGCUAACUCCGUG